rnacentral:lncRNA from 1 species
GACACAACAUAUAUUAUUAUAUCUCAAUCAUGGCAGUACAUGAAGCAGGCAUCAACAUGGCAUCCACCAUGAUAUCUUUUAUUGGAGCAACGAAAGAAAAUACACACAAGCACAUAAACAAACUGACACGCUGGUUUGGAUACUCUCGAUGGGAUCCUGUUUUAUUGAACUCGAUGGUGAGACAUAACUUUGGCCUGUGAAAUCUCAGACCAAGCAUAUGCAUUAUUAGUCAUCAAGGGAUGCCAAGAGAGUAUCCCCCUUACAGAAACUGUCACAAGCAUCACCGCAGCGUUUCACAUAGAGCUUCAUCUCUUCAGUGUUGUCAGCUGGUGCCAAAACAGGAUAGUAUGCGUCAAGAACUAACUUUUCAAUUAGUUUACAUGUACAAAUGAAACAUAAAUAUACUCAGAUGGAUUCUAUUUACCUGUGCUGAUCACGUUGUCACACACAGAAGACCUGCAUCCCAAGCUGCAAUACUCAAUGGCGUUUGGUUCAUCUGCCAAAACGAAGUAGAUCUGAGAUAAACAAUUCCUCGGUUACAAUAUGUCGAUGUUUUGUGUAUUGGGAUGGCCUCUAUCAUUCAUUCUCUAUUAGCUAUUUUCACAAUAAUUUUUGGUAGAUGUUUGUUAGCAUUAUGAAAAAUCAUUCAUGUCAAAUCUUAUCAUACAAAACAUCAGCUAACAAAUUCAGAACAGUUUAUUACAGUAUAUUAAUAGGUAAACUUGGAAUUUUGUUAAUUUGACAUUACACAUUUUUAGGAUCACAUCUACUUUGAAAAGGAGAAAGUAUAUAAAUUAGAAGUAGCGAGUUGUCUGUCUUUACCGGAGCUGCGUAGAGAGGCCAAGCCCGCGGGGAGUCGACAAGCACAGAAGUCUGCGCACUGGAACACUGUACUAGGACCGAGAAGGCAAGAAUUGAAGCAGGCCACUUUGAAGGGGUUUGCGCCGCAGUCCACGCCCUCUACUUGCACCUGCUCCAGGACCAGCCCCAGCACGAGUAGGCACACGAUCGCACUCUCCAGACCCUUUUUGCCUCCUCCCAUGGCUAUGGCUGCCGGGCUCUCUUGCAGAAGGCACGAGUACUAAUGGGGGCUUUUGGUUGAAGGACUGAUGAGAUUAGAGUGAGCUCGAUGGGCUCCUGGUAUCGAUUUUUAUACUAGGAGAUGAUGGCCGUGGGAGUGUCUAGAUGAGUACUGGUUGUUGCACGUGAAAAACCAAAGCGCACCGGGGCCAUAGUUUCUUUUCUUCUCCCACACGGGGCAAAAAGUUGGAUCGAUGGCGCGCGGACAAAGUUGGCCGGAGCCGACGACGACGACGGUGACGGUGUUGUGACCUGCACGAAGCUAUCCAGUAGGAUGUUACAUGCAAGCCGGCGAGUUUUUUUUUACUACAUUUCUAUAAAAAUAUACUCGUAUAUACGAUGAAAUGCGUUUUUGACGUGAGCUACACAAACAAAAUAAAGUAAUGUAUUUUGGCACAAGCACAUUUUGUUUAGAUUUUCUUUUGAAACUUUAAAAAUCCGAUUUCACUCUAGCAGGUCCUAUUUUGUUGCAGCAUGCAACUAUGGGGCGGGGUUUGGACAAAAUACAAUUUUUGUCAAAAUGACAUGUGUGCCUGGGAAUAGAGGGGGAGUGCCCGAAAGUGCCUUUCUGCUCCCGAGCUCAUUUGAGCUCGGUGAACAGUAAAAUCGAAAAAAAAAUUCAAAAAAUUCCAUUUUUUUUGUGAGAAGCAUUGACAAAAGUUCUAAGUGCUUGCAAAAAUUCAUCAUGAAAUCACAUUCCUGUAAGGCGUGGCAAAAAAAAAACAAAUUCAGUGCUCCAAAAUGCUUUUGAAAGUAGCAUUUUCAGAGUACCGAUUUUGUUUUUUUUGGCACGCCUUCUAGAAAUGUGAUUUCAUGACGAUUUUUUGCAAACUCUUAAAACUUUUGUCAAUGUUCUCCCAAAAAAAUAUUUGGAUUUUUUUGAACUUUUUUUAUUUAGUUUUGAUUUUACUGUUCACCCGAGCUCAUUUGAGCUCGGGUGCAGAAACUCUGCGUCCGGGAGUGUCGUAUUAUAUGCCAACGAAAUACCUUUUCUUUUUUGUUGGGAACGAUACGUGCAUGCCAGAAAGACAUCUCUUUGCUGUACACAUGUGCAUGACUUUGAGGUUUGAGCUGGCGAUGUAUAUCAAACAACGUGUGACCAAUGUCACCUUGGUUUUUCAUGUGCAAGAUUUGUAGAUUGCUGAUCACGCUUGCCGCGGGAAGUUUUUCGUGUGUAGAUACAUGGCUCUAUAUGACAUCUAAACUAGAGCUUUGUUUUUUCCCCUAUACUACUCCUAUCUUUAACUUUAAGAGAAAAAUAUACUUUUCAUCUCUUAACUCUUGACAAAGUCUAGAUUUAGUCCUUUAACUUUAAAACCAGAUUAGUUGCAUUAUAAACUUUUAAAACCGGUAAUACUAUUUUUUACAAAGAACAAUCCUACCUUGUUUACACGUCCACUGAAUGCACCAUUGUAAAUUACUUUCACUUUUACAAGCAAGGCAGGAGCUCUAUCGAUUUCAUUAAGAGAGAACUAAUUCAGAGUUGACCGGUUUAAAAGAAAAACAAGGCUGAAAACCAACAUGAACCAACACCGACACCAACACAAACAUGCCACCACCACCUUACAUGACCACAAUCUGGAGCGAUAGUAAGCAAGAUUUUCGAUGACGACUUCAAGAAGGAAAAACAAUGCCCGAGAACGCCGUCCUCACCGGCAUCAACCCCCAUCAAUCAAUAAGCUUUCGCAUAGACCCCUGCAUGACCGCCCCGCCAAAAAUUGGGAUAGAUCAAUCCUAGCCAUUAGGUUCCGAUGCCACUCCUCGCCGACCAGUCACAGAUUAGCGUGAAGAAGUACUCUUCGACAAUAUAGGAGGAGGACGCCCAUGGGCACCAACAUCACGGGCAACGACCCCCGACCAAGAACAAGGCUUUCGCCCAGAGUAUUAUGCCUCCCCGCCUCUUAUCCAAGGUAGGGGCCAGGCCCCUGCGAACAUCAACAACGGCGAACCAAACCAAAAGGAAAAAGAAACGCCGCGGCCUCCACAACACCAUGGAGGGCUGCCUGCAUAGGUGUUGGCACCACCACCACCAUUACUACGAGUAGUCUUGAAGCCACAAUGCAGCAACCGCCUCGCCUCCGCGCUGUCGACGAAUGCCAACCUCGCCGCCAACUAACGAUCUAGCCUGCUGCCCGUGCAGCCGCGACCAAAGCACACCAACGACGCCCACCACCAACACCAGUGUGCUACCACUCGCCACGCGCCGCACUGCCGCACCCAUCGCCGCUUCUACGCCGUCCGGUAGAGGAAAAAGUGCAGCUGUGCCGUCACCGACCCCAAGAGGUCACCUCCAAAGACGGAGCAGCAGAUCAGGCGCUGCCCCGAUCUGAGCCCUUUGAGCCGGCGCGCGAGCAACCACCGCCACGCAGCACUGGGGUCUCCCAGACAGAGUUUAUACCCACAGGCAAAUGAUACAACAUACACCAUUAUAUCUCAGUCAUGGUAGUGCAUCAGGGCAGCAACAUGGCAUCCAUCAUGAUGGCUUUUAUUUCGAACAAGGAAUGGACAUACACACACAUAAAACAGGGUGACACACUGGUUUGGAUACUCUCGAUGGGAUCCAAUUUUAUUGAACGCAAAGGUGAGACACGACCUUGCCCUGUGAAAUCUCAGACCAUGGACACGCAUCAGUACGCAUCAAGGGAUGGGAG